rnacentral:rRNA from 1 species
AGUGAACGCUGGCGGCAGGCCUAAUACAUGCAAGUCGAACGGCAGCACAGCAGAGCUUGCUCUGUGGGUGGCGAGUGGCGGACGGGUGAGGAAUACAUGGGAAUCUGCCCAGUCGUGGGGGAUAACGUAUGGAAACGUACGCUAAUACCGCAUGCGCCCUACGGGGGAAAGUCGGGGACCGCAAGGCCUGACGCGAUUGGAUGAGCCCAUGUUCGAUUAGCUAGUUGCGGGUAAAGGCCCACCAAGGCGACGAUCGAUAGCUGGUCUGAGAGGAUGAUCAGCCACACUGGAACUGAGACACGGUCCAGACUCCUACGGGAGGCAGCAGUAGGGAAUUUGGACAAUGGGGGCAACCCUGAUCCAGCCAUGCCGCGUG